rnacentral:lncRNA from 1 species
AUGGAGGAGGUACAGAGACAGUAUAGAGGAAGAACAGAGGUGAUAUGGAGGUGGUUCAGAGGGAGGAGAUACAGAGAUGAUAUGGAGGCAAUACAGAGGCAGUAUAGAGGAGGUACAGAGGUGAUAUGGAGGUGGUUCAGAGGGAGGAGGUACAGAGGUGCUAUAGAGGUGGUACAGAGGCAGUAUAGAGGAGGUACAGAGGUGAUAUGGAAGUGGUUCAGAGGGUGGAGGUACAGAGGUGAUAUGGAAGCAGUACACUGGCGGUAUGGAGGUGGUACAGAGGUGGUUUGGAGGCAUUAUGGAGGCAGUACGGUUUUUGUAUAACUUCAGAACGGACUGCCAUGCACACCAACUGUGAUUUGUGUCCAGAUAUCUGCUCCUACGAGAGCUCCAAAUGUUUAGAAAUAUGACAGAAUAAAAAUAAAUCUGUAAAAUAACAUGAAUGAUCAUACACUGAACCCGUGCCCGUUGUUAAUAAUAAAAGAAAAGAUGGCAAAAAUAAUGUGACACGGGUUUGAUUUUGAAAUAUAGCAAAUGCACUUCGCUGGCACAUGUAAAUUAAUGUAAAUUCUUUAACUUCUUCAUAAUUCACAUGCAACAUUUGGAAAAAAUAAACUCCAAUGCGAAAACGUUCUAGAGCUCUCUGAGGAAGCUUUACGGAAACCAAACUGUAUCAAUUCCUCAUUCGGUGUAAAUAAAUGAGGAAUGGCUACAGAUUAGAAUCUGUGAGACUUAGUUAGUUUUGGACACAUUAUUAAAACACUUUGGAUUUAAACAUAUUGUCAGUUCGACAAAAUAUGAUUAUAUAAAAUGUAUAAAAUUAUAAAGUCAUUUUCUGAGCCAGAAAAGAUAAACUUUAUUCAAAGAGGGUAGAUAAGAAGUCUUGCGUCUUCUGCAGCAUCCUGAUGUCCUGUGUGAUAUCACACAGGUUAGUUUUGGAUAUGGGUCAAGAUCAUAGAUUCCAUAUGUGUACCACAGCAUCAGAUUGACUGUACAAGUAUGACCUGUAAGUAAAAAAGUUAACUUCUGAUCAACUUCUGAUCUGAUGGAGAGGCUGAGAGACUGGGUAGGCCUAUCAGGAUCUGCUCUGGAGUGGUUCUCCUCUUAUCUUUCUGAGCGCUCCUUUUCUGUGGCCGUCUCCGUUUAGGUCCUCCACCAACUCCCUUACCCAUGGUGUCCCACAAGGUUCUGUGCUGGGGCCUCUGCUCUUCCUCCUCUAUCUGCUUCCUCUUCUCUUGUUUGCUCUUCCUUCCUCCAUCUCAGGAACAUUGCUAAGCUCAGUCCCAUUCUGUCCCACUCUGAACUUGAGACAGUUAUCCACACCUUCAUCUCCUCACACUUAGACUACUGUAACUCUCUUUUCACGUGUCUGAGCAGAACCUCCCUGAACCGUCUACAGGUGGUUCAGAAUGCUUGUGCUCGGCUUCUGACCAAGUCCUCCAAACACACCCACAUCACCCCGCUUCUCCUCCAGCUUCACUGGCUGCCAGUCAACUUCAGGGUUCAUUUCAAGAUCCUGGUUCUGGUCUAUAGGGCCUUACAUGGACAAGCACCAUCUUACAUUGGUGAUCUUCUUAGUCCCUACACCNNNNNNNNNNNNNNNNNNNNNNNNNNNNNNNNNNNNNNNNNNNACCUGCAGUCUGAGAGCGAAGUGCUCGGUUAGGAACGUAUGGAACAAUCAGAUCACUGAUGUAUGAUGGAGCUUGAUUAUUAAGAGCUUUAUAUGUGAGAAGAAGGAUCUUAAAAUCUAUUCUGAAUUUAACAGGUAGCCAAUGUAGGGAAGCUAAGACAGGAGAGAUAUGAUCUCUCUUUUUAAUUCUCAUCAGAACUCUAGCUGCAGCAUUUUGGACAAGCUGAAGACUUUUAACUACAUUCUGUGGACUUCCUGAGAGUAAUGAAUUACAGUAAUCCAGUCUUGAUGUAAUAAAUGCAUGAACUAGUUUUUCAGCAUCACUCCUGGAAAGGAUGCUUCUAAUCUUAGCAAUAUUCCGAAGGUGGAAAAAGGAAAUCCUACAAACCUGUUUAACGUGGGAUUUGAAUGACAUGUCCUGGUCAACGAUAACAUCAAGAUUCCUUACAUUGUUCUCGGAGACUAAUGUAAUGCCAUUCAGGUCAGGUGAUUGACUAAGCAAUUUCCUUUUCUGGAUUUAAGGUCCAAAGAUGACAACUUCAGUCUUGUCCUUACUGAAUUAAUCUCCUGAUUUACAGAAAUCAUAAACUCUGUCCGCCCAUGUCUUCUGGGUCAUCCUGCUGCAGCCAUGACACCAGAACUGAACCUUGAAGGAAUGCAAAUGGCUGUCUGCAUUUCAUGCCUGAGUUUAGCAGUACUGGAUCAUCUGAUGCUGAGAAGUGAUGAAGUCAGCAUGAAGAUCAAACAGAAUGCUGUCUCAGCUCAGAGAAUAAAUCACACCGUUUGUGUUACAUGGUUCUGCAGCACUGCUGUUGGAGACAAAGGGAAUUUUCAGAGUUUUAAGUUUCUAAUUUCAACCUGAUGCACAAGUCAAAGAAGAAGAAAAGCUGGUUCUGAGAAAGUACCUAAAGAGCUGAUGUUUCUACACAGGCAGUUAACAACGACCACAUUUGGAUUAAUGAUGGAGCAUUCAGGGUGGAUUUAUCCAAUUGAUCUGCUGUAGAGCAGCGAGGACAGGGUUCUGAGGUCAGAGGUGUGAGCUACAGGCCCAGUCUUUGGUUCUGACCCAGUAAUGUGCCAUGUUAGCUCGCCCCACCUAGCACAGGGAGGUGAGUUACUCCCUCUGACUGUUAGAUGGGAGCAUUCAGCUGUCUCAUCCAUCUGCUGAUGAAGGCCUCCAUGAUGUCAUCUUUCUGACAACUGGUUCUCUGGGUAAGGUCAGCGACACAGAACCGACCCAAGUUCCACAAACCCACUAAAGCAACACUGGCAUGAGAGAAAAAAAGCAAAACUCUGGUUGUUGUGUGUUUUAUCUUGUUGGAAUGAGAAUGAGUCUUUGAUUCUUCAUGUUUAUUAGAUUUAAAGCCACCUCUGAUGGAUGUGGUGAUCAUGUUUAGAGUCAAAGUGACUGCACUGAUGGAAACCUGUAAUCCAUUAAAGUCCAUACCGAUUUUUAACCCAAUUCUCCCCUUCAGAAAAUCUUAAGGAUGUGCAGAAACACUGUAACGGCUCUAAAGAUAAUCUUAUCAAAUUAUCCUACCGUGUGUGGAGUGUUAAGAGUGCUCUGAUCCCCCCGGGAGAACGUCUGUUCUGAUCUGAUCGUUUCUCCGGAUUUUCAAACAUGAUAGAUUUUUGAGGACACGUGAACAUGCUGCCUGUUGAACCUGUGUAGCCAAUCACAUGGGACGAUUUCAUCCUAUGACAGGGGGACGUCCGUGAGUGAAAGCAGGUUGUGUGUAGUUUGAGCUACGUUGCUGCCCAUCAUACACUGCUGGACCAAAGCUGCUGUAUCCGAGAUAUUUUUAACACCAUGUCUCUCAUGCUUUGAAAAUUGGCCGACAAUUUAAAAAACCUGGAAACCAGUUUCCUCCUCUACAUUCCACCAGAUAACUUAUUCCUUUUGAAAGAAUCUCAGUUCCGACUGCUGACGGUUGAGACCUCAGCUUGUCCUCAGGUGUUCCUGAUCUUUGGUCAGUAGAUCUGGGAACUUGGUGUCAUUUUAAACUGUUUGGAGCAUUCUCAGCCUACUUUUAGAAGUAAUAGACAUUUCCCGCAGAGUAUAAAUAAGUGCUUUGUUAACAGGCCGAAGAAGCUAUCGCAGACUUCCCCCUCCCCAGUGAAGCUGUUUAGCUUCUCCUGGGGAGUCCGCAAGUAUUCCAGGUGUGUGGGUCUGCUCUAGGGUUUCCUUCUAGUGCUCAGGAAACCCCCCAGAGAAAGUUGAGCAUGAGGUAUCCUGGUCAAAUGCUCAAACUUCUUCAGCUUACUCAUUCUGAUGAAGAGGAGCAGCAGCUUCACUACUGCCCCCACAUUUUGCUAAAGAAACUCCAAAUCUGACGUUGUUCAGCAUGACAGCCAUGCUAUAAUCUGCAUGACCCACAUUAUCUGAUGAACCUGGCUGGACUGCAUUUGGAAACCUUCAAUUGCCUUGUGCUCUUAGGGUUAGCCAAAAAGGUUACCUGCAUUUCUAAGCCUUCCUAAAAUCUAUGUCAGAAACACUUUUUCACAACGAUACUGCCAUGAUCACACACACACACACACACACGCACGCACACACACACACACACAUGCACACACACCGCCAUGCUAAACAGGGUUAGGGUUAUAAACUGUUGGAUAAGGUCUGCUGAAGGAUGGUGUCCCUCAAGGGCCAAAGCUCAAACCCUUUCAUGAACAUUUACUCUUUCUGUGUGUAACAGAGAAUUCACUGCAUUCUUAAUAACUCCUCUAAGACCAUUCUUAGACCCUUCGGCGGCCAUUUACACGGUGGCUGAGGCUUGUUCUACCUGGGUCUUCAUCCAGUAGGAAGGGGGUCCAAGAAUUUAAUCCAAAAAAACUCAGAUUGAACAUCUCGAUGGCUCAGCAGCAUUACAGGUCCUUCUCAAAAAUUAUCAUUUGCGAUAAAGUUCAUUAUUGUCUGUAAUGUAGUGAUAAACAUUAGACUUUCAUAUAUAUUAGAUUCAUUCACAGUAGUUCAAGCCUUUUAUUGUUUCUAAUAUUGAUGAUUUUGGCAUACAGCUCAUGAAAACCCAAAAUUCCUAUCUCAAAAAUUAGCACAUUUCAUCUGACCAAUAAAAGAAAAGAGUUUUUAAUACAAGAAAAGUCAACCUUCAAAUAAUUAUCUUCAGUUAUGUACUCAGUACUUGGUCAGGAAUCCUUUUGCAGAAAUGACUGCUUCAAUGCGGCGUUGCAUGGAGGCAAUCAGUCUGUGGCACUGCUGAGGUGUUAAGGAGGCCCAGGAUGCUUCGAUAACGACCUUAAGCUCAUCCAGAGUGUUGGGUCUUGCGUCUCUCAACUUUUCUUCACAAUAUCCCACAGAUUCUCUCUGGGGUUCAGGUCAGGAGAGUUGGCAGGCCAAUUGAGCACAGUAAUACCAUGGUCAGUAAACCAUUUAGCAGUGGUUUUGGCACUGUGAGCAGGUGCCAGGCCCAUCCAUCCAUCCAUCCAUCCAUCCAUCCAUCCAUCCAUUUUCAUCCGCUUAUCUGGAG